CCAGUACCCCAAAGCUAUGAUGCCAACGAAUCAACUUGGAAGAACACAUUUCAUGCCCUCAUUUCAUUUCCUCAUCCUCUCACCCUGCAACUUAAAGUAUAUGAAACUUAGUCAUGUGAUCAAAACAAAAUACAUAUGCUCAUACACCUAUAUUAAUACAAUACAAAAUAAGUCCUAAACAACAUAAUAUCACUUGUCUACUGAAGUAUCAAUAACCAAAAAUACCAUGACGCGUCAUAAACUAAAUUUUAAUUACUUCCAUAGAUGGUUGAUGCAAAAAAGGGGGGGAAUCAAUUUGUAUAUCCAGAAUACUCACUUUCUUGAAGGUUGCUAUUAUAUUAACAGGAACCCAACCUUCUUCAUCCAAAAAAGCGUGCAAAAAAACAUCCCGCUAUGGAAUGAAAACUAGCUAACAAGAAGAAAUGCUUCAUUUCAUUCCUACAUUGCAAACAAAAAAUCAAGAUUUUUAAAAUGAAGUUUCACGCAUAAUCUUGAUAUAUAAAUUAAGCCAUCGUGAAUACAAUAAAAGAUGAAGACUUUUGGAAUGAAAAGUUAAACGCUAACUGCCUGGAGCAUCCCACAAAAUAAUAAAUAGAAAAAAGAAUUCAAUAAAUAAAUAAACAAUAACAAAUGUUUAAAUUUAAAAAUGAAUCAAGAAACUAUCAUGAUUGCAGGAGUUAAGAGGCAUUUAUUAGUGAAAAUAAACUUAUUAAAUUAAAAAAACAAACUAUCAAAUGAAAACCUUACCAAAAAGCUGUAUAACUUGAUGUCUUAUAUGUUGACGAUUAAAGUUUUUAUCUACAUUCCACACUACUCCUGUACUAUGCUUUCCCUGUCUUGCUCAACAUCCUAGAUAUCACACAAAAAACUUAGAUUUAUUGUUUAAACGAUUAUUUUAAAAUUUUCACACUAAAUUGGGUGAGAAUUUUGAGUAUUGGUACCAGUAAAGACGAAAACUGAAACAAUUAUCAUAGAGAAUAAAGGAACCAAGAUUAC
rnacentral:lncRNA from 1 species